rnacentral:rRNA from 1 species
AACGAACGCUGGCGGCAUGCCUAACACAUGCAAGUCGAACGAGACCUUCGGGUCUAGUGGCGCACGUGUGCGUAACGCGUGGUAACCUGCCCUUAGGUUCGGAAUAACUCCCCGAAAGGUGUGCUAAUACCGGUUAAUGUCUUCGGACCAAAGAUUUCUCGCCUUUGGAUGGGCCCGCGUUGGAUUAGCUUGUUGGUAGGGUAAAAGCCUACCAAGGCGUCGAUCCAUAGCUGGUCUGAGAGGAUGAUCAGCCACACUGGGACUGAGACACGGCCCAGACUGCUACGGGAGGCAGCAGUGGGGAAUAUUGGACAAUGGGCGAAAGCCUGAUCAAGCAAUGACGCGUGAGUGAUGAAGGCCUUAGGGUUGUAAAGCUCUUUUACCCGGGAUGAUAAUGACAGUAACGGGAGAAGAAGCACCGGCUAACUACGUG